CAGUGUGCCCCCAUUCCCCCCAAAAAAAGCCCUUUGAACUGAUACCGCAGAGCCUUGGAGCGCUUGCUCUUGUUUUGGAUGAGCAGCAUCCUUCUCCUUCCCCUCCUUCCCCAAACUGCACAUCAUCCAUUAUGGAGACUUGAGCAUCCUUGGCACAGACAGGGAAAUAGAUACAGUGUAGUAAAAGGAGAGCAAGGAAGUCAAGGCGAGGGGUGAAGGAAUGGAUGGGGGAAGGAAGGAAGGAAGGGAGGGAGGAAGGGAGGGAUGAUGGGAUGGCUGGCUACCUCCAGAAAAGCUCUCUGGGUCGCUGGGCUCCUCCGGCUCCUGGCUGCUGCUCUUGCUGCUGCUGCUGCCGCCGCCGCUCUUGCAACGGAUCAGCUGAUAUUUACCUGUGAGGGCUCUUGUGGUGCAGAAGGACACUCUGGCAAAGUGUUGUGGAUAGUUUGGUUAUCAAAAGUGAGAAGAUGCUGGUUGAAGGGCCAGUAUUAG
rnacentral:lncRNA from 11 species